rnacentral:tRNA from 1 species
GAGGGUAUAGCUCAGUGUUAGAGUGUAUGUCUUGCAUGCACAAGGUCCUGGAUUCAAUCCCCAGUGCCUCUG